rnacentral:lncRNA from 1 species
CUGACUGGAGGGAGUAUCAGAUAUGUUAAGGGAAUUGUGUGAGAGUUCUUGAGGGAAGUCUCUGGUGAACCCACCAAUACACACCACGAAGAGUCCACAGGGCACCAAGGCCAAAACACAACAGUAGCUCUCGGGUAAGCUCUGUCCCUGCCCUUGACUGUCCCUCCUCCUACUCCUUAUCUCUGGGGAGAGUCCUUCUGGUGCAUGGAGGAACAGGGGUGGAGGUGCCAGACAGGUAAAUACAAUGCAGAGAACUAACCACUAUAUGACCUUGGCAGGACAGCUAAGCAUUGUAGAAUAAAUGAUCAUGUCUUCUUGUCUCUAGAGAGUCCCUUGCACAGCAAGGAGAUCAAAGAGGUCAAUCCCAGAGGAAAUCAACCCUGAAUAUUCAUGCUGAAGCUGAAGUUCCAAUACUUUGGUUGAUGGAUGUAAAGAGCUGACUCAUUGGGAAAGAUCCUGAUGCUGGGCAAGAUUGAGGGCAGGAGGAGAAGGGGACGACAGAGGAUAAGAUGGUUGGAUGGCAUCACUGACUCAAUGGAGAAGAGUUCGAGCAAACUCUGGAAGAUGGUGAAGGACAGGGAAUCCUGGUGUGCAGUAGUCCACAGGAUCACAAAGAGUUGGACACAACUGAACAACUGAACAAAAACAAGGAAAGCCUGGCGUGCUGUAGUCAGGCACUGAGGUUACAAAGAAUCAGACACGAUUUAGCGACUGAACAACAACAACAUAAGUCACAUCUAUGGAAAUGGGAACAACCAGCUGUAACCUAGGAGUCUUCCUUAUUUGGUUAUUCAUAUACACAGGCAAGAAGAAAGGACCAGCAAUCAAUGGAAUGGAAAAGUCACUAAAAGCAGCGUUUCAAGAUGACAAAGAUGCUCCCAACCCACGUGGGCAGGUUGAGGGACAGAAGUUUACUGAACAUGUCUUGACUUAGCAAGGUUGGCUGAAAGCUGAAUUUUAUCAUUUAUCCUUUAUUGAACUUCACUUGGUUACUGUGCUCCGUACUUUGGUGUUUUAGAGAUUAAACUGGUGGUCCCUUCCCCUCCCCCAAUCUCUUUUAUCCCUGUUCUGUGCUUAGUCACUCUGUUGU